GGACCGUCACUCCGCCGUGGUACGGGGUGGCGGCGUCGUCGGUCGCCUGGAACAGCAGGGCCGGGGGCAGCGCGUCGUUCGACACGUCGACCGGCCGC
rnacentral:tRNA from 1 species